rnacentral:sRNA from 1 species
UGUUAUGUUUAUUUGCCUCAUCGUUGUCUCUCCAUAUGUCGUCUUUCAACAUCAUUGAUGGUGGUGGGGCAAUUCUGUCUUUGCCUUCAACAACAAACAAAAUUGUGGCGGUGAGGGAUAUAGUUAUAAAAUCGAUCAAGGUUCUCUUUCAUGCCCUUUUGCUUUUGUUUGACUUCAGUCAAGUUAGUAAGAAAUUAGAUGUGUUUCUUUGUCACUUUUUUUUUUUUUUUUUUUUUUUACAUUUCUUGACAUUUGACUCCGACUUUCAGGGGUGUCUUGAAAACUUGAAAACUUGUGCUUGGCGUUUCCUAUCUCUCCCACUAUUGUUAGCAUUAUUAUAUUCCCCACAGCAUAUCUGGGAUAAUGUUUGGGAUUAGACAUGGAAUGCACCUUGCAGGCGGUGUGGGCAUACUAUCCUAAACAAAAGUUUAAAACUAGGAAAGAAAACCAAAGUAAUAAGGAAAAUUCCCCUGCCAUGUGUCAGGAUUGACAAAAAAUUGGCAAAAUGUAAAUGACAAUAGUAAGAAGAAAAGGGGAUGCUGAACUUUUGUUAGUUUUGGUAGUUAUCAUUGACUGAUACAUAGCUCCGGACCACCUGUAUAAACUUUUGCCCGCAACGAAGUUAUUCUUCAUCUGAUCUGCUGUCUUUGUUGGCUCGUGUUCCGGGGUUGACAGAUGUCCCGCUGCUGAUCCCCCGCAUUUUAUCAAUCGAAUUUCUUUUUCCUGAAUGAGUCGCACUCUAACUCCGUACAUAGAGCAUUCCCUCCAUGCUUUGCUGACUCCGCAAAACAACAAUCACAUCCACUAUUUACAGAUACGGUAUGAAGAAGCGAAUUUUGCGGGUUAGAAAAUAAAGUCAGAAAAACAAAAGAAAAUAUUUUCCAUCAACAUCCAUUCUGCCCACACCAAACCUCUUAGCUUGUUCACCCCCAACCCAACAAAAGAGACUUCUUUUUAAUUAGUUAACUAACUCACCCUUGGCUGCUGAGAUCAUCCGGGGGUAGCCAGGAUUGCGAAGAUUUUCCCCGCUUUUUGCGCAUGUUUCCACCUCCACCCACCUAACCCUAAUCUCAAUCUGCUGGUGGUCUGAAUCUGGAGAUCAUCAAAGUCUCCGCUUACAUACGGCAGAUUCUCAACUGGACAUUUCCAGUCUGCGGAAGAUUGCAGGUUCGAGUCCUGCGUCGGUCGAAUUUUUUUUAUUCUUUCAUUUCUACAGAUUCUUAGUAUCUUUAAAAUUCCCGCCGC